CAUCCUCCAAGGCUAAAUACUCCUGACUGACCGAUAGUGAACCAGUACCGUGAGGGAAAGGCGAAAAGAACCCCGGCGAGGGGAGUGAAAAAGAACCUGAAACCGUGUACGUACAAGCAGUGGGAGCACAGGUUUACCUGUGUGACUGCGUACCUUUUGUAUAAUGGGUCAGCGACUUAUAUUCUGUAGCAAGGUUAACCGAAUAGGGGAGCCG
rnacentral:rRNA from 2 species